UCUGUUCUCAUCCUGAAGCAACGUUCUUAACCUGAAGCAAUAUUUCUGGGUUAGCGGAGUCUGUAACCUGAAGCGUAUGUAACCUGAAGCGUAUGUAACCCAAGGUACCACUGUACUCAAAAUUGACUUGUGGGGGUUGUCAGCCAAAUUGCUCUCCCUGAGGGACACAUCUGGACACUUGUCCUUACCUUUAAAUCAGAAAUAUGUGGUGUUACAAAACAGAGACAGUUCUGGAUAUUGAGCACUUGCAUUUUAAUAACCACCUCGCAAAGAGUUUUGUGCUUUCAGAUGGCAUGCACAAACAUUAAAGGAAACUUUUGUGUUCACCUGUGUUUUCUUUACUUCCUCUCCAGAGGUUUGAUCUGCCCUCAGUAUGCCCACAGGAGUAUCCUUUGGUAGGUUGGAAGCUGAAUACAAAAAGCAUAUUUCUCUGAUGUUCUAGCUGAAUAGAGGAUUUGAAUUUAAGGUACAUUUCAACAAUAGUUCGUUUCCAGGGAGCAAUUUUGCAAGAGGUCUUAUGGCAAUUCCACACCGUUUUAAAAAAUAAAAGGCUGACAUUAUUGACUGUGCUGGGCCACAGCUGUGGAUCAUUGUAUGAAAUCCCUUUUAGAACGGGAGUAUGUUGGGCAUGAGAUAAACAGAAUGUGUGUUUUGUAAUUUGCACCUCUCUUUUAAACCAUAGCUCCUGUUCAGGUUUCCUGCUAGACUUCUAUGUCCGCUUUCAGGAUACUCUAAGGUUUUCUCCCCAAAAGGCAGUUCCCACUGAGUGUACCCAGUCUUCAUUGGGCAGUUCCCUUCCCCACGCUUAGAUUCCCACCCACUCUUUUUGGGGGGUAAUUCUACAAACCUUGAGAUCCCCCAGAACCUACUGAUAUCUCCUCUUGUUCAUGGCUGAUACCUAGAGAGCCACAGUUGGAGAAUGAGUUUGCUGUUAGUAUAUAGGAGUCUCUGAACACAAGAAGAGGCUGCUGGAUCAAACCAAAGGGCCUAACAGUCCAACAUCCUGUUUUCACAGUAGCGGAAAGCCUGAAAGCAGGACCUGAGUGACACAACAACUGGUAUUCAGCCUCCAGCGGUGGUGGUAGUACACUCGGAUAGAGAAUGGUAUUCCAAGUAGCACAUUUCAGGCUACACUCUGCUCAGACAACUGUCAGGGCUGGAGUCAGAUGCAGGUCAGCACGAAGAGGCAGAGUCAGUUGUCAGUGAAGUUAACUCUUUAUUCAAGGAAAUGGCAUAAGAACAGCUUAAUUUAUGAGAAACUUGCAUUAAGAACGCUGCAAACCCGGAAGUAGGUGUUUUGGUUUGUGAACUUUGCCUUGGAAGCAGAACAUGUUUCGUUUCCUGCUGAGUGUAAAUUGAAUCCCCCACCGCUAUGGGAAAGCACGCCUUGGUUUAAGAACGCUUUGGUUUAAAAACGGAAUUCCGGAACGGAUUAAGUUCGUAAGCCAAGGUACCACUGUACAACUCUGCAAUACUUCCUAGUAGGUCUUGCCAAGACUAAAGGUCCUUCCACACCUCUCUAAGGCGCCUCCUCUCCCAGAUGUUUUCCAAGCAGUCUCAAACUGCAUCUGCACACCUCUGGUCUCUGUGUUCUGCCGUCGUCAUUAUUCUGCACGUUAUUUUAGAUCAAGGGGAGCUUGUCGCAACAGGAGAGGGCGAGUCCUUGGUUUCUACAGCAGCCUCUUAACCCACCUCCUUUGCUUCAGCCUCGGAGUCUGAUCUGCUCCUUGUCACCAGCUCUCCCAGCUCACUAAACCCUGUUGCCCCUUCAGCAUCCAGCCUCUCCUCCCAAUCUUCUCCCUCUGACCUCUCCUCAGUGUCCCACCACUGAUCCCUUGGCUCUGAGCCUUCCUCCUCUGGGGUUUCCCUGGGGGGUUCCUUGGCUGGUGUCUCCCUCCACUCCUCUUUGUCCAGCCAGUCCUUGACAGCAACACAUGGAGAAAAUGUCUACUGGCUCCUGCCCCAGCCUUCUUGCAUUAAAUAGGGAGGACCAAAGGGAGCUUCUGAGCACAUUCAGCUGAAUGCAUUUAGAAGCCCCCCAGUGAUUGGGAGUCCUGAGAAGGAAAAGCCUCCCAAUUGUGUGGUGGCUUCCAGCUACUUUCAGCUGAAUGUGCUUAGAGGGCUUGGCCUUCAGACCCUGGGACUCAACCUGGAAAAGGGGUGAUGACACUGGGGCUAGGGCAGGGGUCCCCAAACUAAGGUCCGCAGGCCGGAUAAGGCCUGAGGGACUUGUUUAUCCGGCCCACAGCAACCCCCGCCGCCCACUCUUUCCGGCGCUGCGCUGAGCAGCUGCCCACUUCCGGGUCUGAGGAGCACCAGAAACAGUUUGUGCGCACGCGCAAGUGUUGUUUGUGCAUGUGCAAGCGUGCACAUCUGGGUCGGAGGAGGCCCGUGCACAUGCACACAAGCUAUUUCCGGUGCUCCUCCAACCCGGAAGUGCGCCAGAAAUAGCGUGUGUGCAUGCGUAUGGGUGCGCACUCCUCCACCCUCUGACUCGCCACGUGGUCGGCGCUGGAGACACCAGCCUCAGGCGCAGUAAGUUUGCUGACCCCUGGGCUAGGGUUUGCCUGUGUGAUUCUAUUGUCCUGUUCACACAUUUACUUUAAAGACAGUUCCCUUCAAAUAAACAUUUGCUGUGUGUUUAUAUAAACUGGGGGCUUGCGUUGUUGGGUGACUCAUCCAUAUCCUCUGGUAACAUAUGGGUAUAUUACCAUAUAAUCUUCAUAGCCGUAUAUCCCAUUUCCACUGCUACAGCUUUGCAAAGUCUAGUCCUGAUGUAAGGUUUAGUCUGUCUCAUCCUGUUAUCGUGGAGCCAGUUUAUACGCUUUAUAAUCUGUAAAUGGUCACUUUAACCAAAAUGGCAAAAUGCGAUAUGCGCUAUUUAUUUAGUGCAGAUUUAUUGAGCUCACCAUCCAACACAUUUCUCUUCUGCAUGGUUUUUUUAAUAGUCUUUUGACCUUCUUAAUCAGUUACAGGAAACGGAGAGGUAUGGGCUGGUUUGCACUGUAGGUUUCUCUUCUCAUGGUCAUAGUAGCCACUGAACUUUCUUACGCUCUAAAUGCUACACAACAUGGGCACAUCCAUUUCAAGCAUGUUCAAUGCAUAUUUAAAGCCACAAAGAAUCCUGGGAAUUGUGGUUUGUUAAAGCUGCCCUGUGAGGGUGAAACCACAGUCCCCAGGAUUCUCUGGGGGAGAAUCAUGCUUUAAGUGCAUGAUGUUUUAAGUGCAUGGUGAGGAUCUGCCCUUUGAGUCUGGAACACUGGGAUGAAGGGCAUUUCAGGGGGAAAGUGAGUGGCAGGGCAAGGGUUAAGCAUUCCUUUAUCCACUGUCCUUGAUGCUCUUCUUCCCUCCCAAGAGCUCUUUGCAUGGGAGAAGUUGCCUCCGGGACUUUGUUGGGCACAGCUGUAGUGCUGUGCUCGGAUUGUUACUCAUAAUAAGUGGAGGAAAUGUAUUUGGACAAGAGCUGGGUAAGGCAGCCUUUGCCAGACUACAACUCUGUGCUGGCUGGUGCAAGUUGCAGGCUAAAGCAUUGGUUGGGGGAAGGCAGCAGUUUGGAAAAGGCUGAAUUUUAACAAGUAGAGUGGAAAAGAGUUGAGAGAUGCAACAGGAGUUGCAUCAUUAUUUAUUAUUAGAAUUUAUAUACCGCCCUAUACCCGGGGAAGGGGUGUCUCAGGGUGGUUCACAG